rnacentral:tRNA from 1 species
GAGGGUAUAGCUCAAGUGGUAGAGCACGUGCUUAGCAUGCAUGGGGCCCUGGGUUCAAUCCCCAGGACCUCCU